rnacentral:rRNA from 1 species
GAUGAACGCUGACAGAAUGCUUAACACAUGCAAGUCUACUUGAAUUUGGGUUUUUUUACUUCGAUUUGGGUGGCGGACGGGUGAGUAACGCGUAAAGAACUUGCCUCACAGUUAGGGACAACAUUUGGAAACGAAUGCUAAUACCUGAUAUUAUGAAUAUAUGGCAUCAUAUAAUUAUGAAAGCUAUAAGCGCUGUGAGAGAGCUUUGCGUCCCAUUAGCUAGUUGGAGAGGUAACGGCUCACCAAGGCGAUGAUGGGUAGCCGGCCUGAGAGGGUGAACGGCCACAAGGGGACUGAGACACGGCCCUUACUCCUACGGGAGGCAGCAGUGGGGAAUAUUGGACAAUGGACCAAGAGUCUGAUCCAGCAAUUCUGUGUGCACGAUGACGUUUUUCGGAAUGUAAAGUGCUUUCAGUUGGGAAGAAAAAAAUGACGGUACCAACAGAAGAAGUGACGGCUAAAUACGUG